GAUGAACGCUGGCGGCGUGCCUAAUACAUGCAAGUCGAGCGAACAGACGAGGCGCUUGCUCCUCUGACGUUAGCGGCGGACGGGUGAGUAACACGUGGAUACCCUACCUAUAAGACUGGGAUAACUUCGGGAAACCGGAGCUAAUACCGGAUAAUAUAUUGAACCGCAUGGUUCAAUAGUGAAAGACGGUUUUGCUGUCACUUAUAGCUGGAUCCGCGCCGCAUUAGCUAGUUGGUAAGGUAACGGCUUACCAAGGCAACGAUGCGUAGCCGACCUGAGAGGGUGAUCGGCCACACUGGAACUGAGACACGGUCCAGACUCCUACGGGAGGCAGCAGUAGGGAAUCUUCCGCAAUGGGCGAAAGCCUGACGGAGCAACGCCGCGUGAGUGAUGAAGGUCUUCGGAUCGUAAAACUCUGUUAUUAGGGAAGAACAAAUGUGUAAGUAACUAUGCACGUCUUGACGGUACCUAAUCAGAAAGCCACGGCUAACUACGUG
rnacentral:rRNA from 1 species